GACGAACCGUGCGAACGUUAUUCGGAAUCACUGGGCUUAAGGCGCGUGUAGGCGGGGUGGCACGUCGGUCGCUGAAAGCCCCCGGCUCAACCGGGGAAGGGGCGCCGAUACGACCACCCUGGAGGGACGUAGGGGGACCUGGAACUUCCGGUGGAGCGGUGAAAUGCGUUGAGAUCGGAAGGAACGCCCGUGGCGAAAGCGAGGUCCUGGACGUUUACUGACGCUGAGACGCGAAAGCCAGGGGAGCGAACGGG
rnacentral:rRNA from 1 species